CACCUCCCUAGGAGAGCUCCUCUUGCCUCCGGCGGAGGCGCAUGAGCCGAGCCCGGCCAUAACACGCCCGUGGCCGUGGCCAACAACAACCUCCAGGCUACAUCAGCGUUCGGUGGCGAACUCUUGAUGGAUUUCCAAUGUGGCUCCGGCCUCCCAUUUUUUUUUCAGAAUCUACUCCAAUGAGUGAAUCAUAGCCACCAAUAAACAGGCACCCAGUGAAGAUGUCACACUUUGAUGUGAAGUGCCUGAGAUCACAUUCAUCACCAGGAAGGUUCAAGAUGUUCUGCAUCAAAGGCGUCGGC